GUGAGCCAAGAUCGCACCACUGCACUCCAGCCUGGGGGACAGAGCGAGACCCUGUCUCAAAAACAAACAAACAAACAAACAAAAACAAAAAAAAACUGCUUUUCCCAACACUCUCCAUGAAUGAGCAGUAACAAUCUUUUUGGGUUUGGUUUUGUUUUCUGAGACAGGGUCUUCUAGGCUGGAGUGCGGUGGUGCAAGCGUAGCUCACUAUAGCCUCAAUUCCCUGGGCUCAAGCAAUCCUCCUGCCUCAGCCUCCUGAGUAGCUAGGAUAACAGACAUGUGUCACCACACCUGGCUAAUUUUUUUAUUUUUUGUAGAAAUGGGCUCUCCCUUUGUUGCCCAGGCUGGUCUCAAAUCCCUGGGCUCAAGCAGUCCUCCCGCCUUGGCUUCUCAAGGUGCUAGGAUUACAGGCGUGAGCUACUGCGCCAGGCCAUGCAUUCUUAAUAGGUGGGCAAGUUGUAUCUGUGAAAAGUUAAAGUAUUCACACUCUUGAACAUCUAGGAAUCUGUGCUACGGAAACAAGUGCACAGAUACAUACACACCAGGGUGUCCGUUCUAGUAUCAUUCAUAAUAGUGGAAACUGAGAAACAACUCAGAUACCCCUCAUAGGGACAGUGGGGAAGAUGGGAUGUCUGUGGCUCCAUUAAAAUCAUGUGAGGGCUGCCACACCACCCAUUCCCCUUCUCUGCUGUCUUCCCCAGGCAGAUAGCAGAGACACGGGACUCUUCUGGGGACACAUGCACGCCUCCACGCUGCAAUAAAGCACUGGCGAGGAGAGCCCGGGCAUGUCGGUGAUGGACGCAGGCACCAUCUGCCGGUGCAGGGUCAGAGAGACGCACGAGGACUUGAAGGAGCCUCUCAAGAAGGUGAUGUGCACCACGUCCCUAGCAGAGGAGCAGAGAGGGCUGAGUAACCCAGCAGCGCCCCCUGCCACCUCCCCGUGGGGCUCUCCCUCUGCCUCUGGCUCCGGGCUGCCCAUUGGUGCGGACACUGGACACUGAACUCCCUGUUUUGGGAUUCAUUUGGCAGGGUCUCUCAUAGUGUCCCCAGUGUGUCCGGCAAGCACCCCAGCAAUUCCACACCCAGGGACGUACUCCAUGGAGGCAGGGCCUCAGCUCACAGAGCUGGGGGACAGUCCGGGGCCCUGGCACUUUUGCUCUUGUCCCCUGCCUCCAUAGAAACAUGAAAACCCAGAUUUUACAACUGCGUUGGUAUAAAGAUGAAUAUGACCCAGGCUGGAUUCCUUGCUAUAUGUUGGGUUUUUUGUUUUGUUUUGUUUGGGUUUUUUUUUAGAUGGAGUUUCACUCUUGUCACCUAGGCUGGAGUGCAGUGGCACAAUCUCGGCUCACUGCAACCUCCACCUCCCGGGUUCCAGCAUUUCUUCUGUCUCAGCCUCCUGAGUAGCUGGGACUACAGGCGCACCCCACCAUGCCCAGCUAAUUUUUUUUCUAUUUUUAGUAGAGACGGGGUUUCGCUCUGUUGGCCAGGCUGGUCUCGAACACCUGACUUCAAGUGAUCCACCCACCUCAGCCUCCCAAACUGCUGGGAUUACAGGUGUGAACCACCGUGUCCGGCCUGGAUUCUUUGUUAUAUGUUUUUGUUUUGUUUUUGAGACAGGGUCUCACUCUGUCACCCAGGCUGAAGUGCAGUGGCGAGAUCUCAGCUCACUGCAACAACCUCUGCCUCCCGGGCUCGAGCGAUCCUCCUGCCUCAGCCUCCCCAGUAGCUGGGAACACAGGCAUGCACCACUACACCCAGCUAAUUUUUUGUAUUUUUCGUAGAGACAGGGGUUUCGCCAUGUUACCCAGGCUAGACUAGAACUCCUGAGCUCAAGUGAUCUACCCGCCUCAGCCCCCCAAAGUGCUGGGAUUAUAGGCAUGAGCCACCGCCCCGGCCAGUGUUAUGUAUUUACUUUUGUCUUCUGAUUUUAAAGUAAGUUAGAAUGAAAAAUUUAAAGGUGACCAUUGUCUUUAGGAAUUUUUUUUUUUAUGUAGAAUGAAAACUUUUUUCUGGAACCCUAAAAGUGUCGUGGGUCCUGGGGGCUACGCCUCCUGUG
rnacentral:lncRNA from 1 species